rnacentral:rRNA from 1 species
AGUCUAGACAUCCUUUCUGGAUAGUCCUUAGCCGGACUAGCCCUUCGGGCAGAAGAGACAGGUGUGCAUGGUUGUCGUCAGCUCGUGUCGUGAGAUGUUGGGUUAAGUCCCGCAACGAGCGCAAACCCUUGUGUUUAGUUGCCAACAGGUAAAGCUGUGCACUCUAGACAGACUGCCGUGGAAAACACGGAGGAAGGUGGGGAUGACGUCAAAUCAUCAUGCCCCUUAUGAUCUGGGCUACACACGUGCUACAAUGGCCGGUACAACGGGCAGCGAAGGAGCGAUCCGGAGCGAAUCCUAAAAAGCCGGUCCCAGUUCGGAUUGCAGGCUGCAACUCGCCUGCAUGAAGUUGGAGUUGCUAGUAAUCGCGAAUCAGCAUGUCGCGGUGAAUGCGUUCCCGGGUCUUGUACACACCGCCCGUCACACCAUGGAAGUUGGGGGCGCCCGAAGCCAGUGGCCCAACCGCAAGGAGGGAGCUGUCGAAGGUGAAACCAAUGACUGGGGUGAAGUCGUAACAGGUAACCGU